rnacentral:rRNA from 1 species
GAAGAUUUUUUUUAAGAGUGGGAGGAGAAGAGGAGGAGCUCACCGCCGAUCCCAAUAGCGACGGCGACGGCGACGGCGGCAGCGGGGUGAAAAAUAGAGUACACGAAGCCGCUCCACCCAGUUCGAUCGCGUGCGCGUUUCUCAACGAGGCCGCGCCCGCGGCGACUCCACCUCCACCUCGAUGCCGCCGACCACCACCUGCCAGCAGUGCAGCUACAAUUGAAGCUGCUCAAGGUAGUGGAGGUGAUGAUGGAGUCCAAGGAACGAACGAGCGGCAACCCAGGCUAGCUCCGAGUCAGGAGUGGGAACACCGGUAUAGGGAGAGAUAGCCUUGGUUGCCGGUUUAGCCCGAACAGCAAGCCGCCUCCGUCCCAGUUCCUCCUCCUCCGUCACUUGCCUCUUCCUUCCUCCGCGACCCCACGGUCGCCUACAAGUGGACGGUGGAACGAACAACAAGCGAUCCCGUCAUCCGGACGCCCCUACUGUACCCUCGGAGGACUCCACAGUUUUCAGUGUCGUGGCAUAAGGAGGGUACAAAAACCACCUACCUGAUGUCGGGGUACCACAAUUCCAUGAACGAACAGUAAGGUGAGUAGUCAAUGCUGCGCAAACCAAGCCGGGGCCAUUGCGUAAGCGAAGCGGCAUAGUCCUUCGCGGCGAAGGCUAAUUAAGAUGCGUUAUGCAGGUAACAAACCAACCACGCCGGCUCAGGACAAAAAGAUUAGGGGAGGCUAGCCCGCCAAAUCGAAAAGACUUCGCUACAUAGUCCUCCGCGACGAUGCCUUUUGUAGCACGCGCUUUGUUUGCGGUCGAUGCCAAAACCUUCAGCCACAUUAGCCUUCGGCGCGGAAAAAACGCCUUGGUUUGCGCAGCAAUCAAUGAGAGCCAACGAAACAUAUCAAUGACGAUAACAACUAAGCCGUACAUUGUACGCCCAAUAUCUACGUCUAAUUAAGUAAUCCGUGUAGUAGUCUCUCUCUCUCUCUCUCUCUACUUGACUUGACUUGACUUGACUUGUAAAGUCUUGUUCGUUUGUUUUUCAAGUCAAGUUUGUUUGUCCACGAGGAGAGGGCUAGCGGGCUUGGGUUGCUGAGCGAGGAAGGACGGUUGUGGUCCACGAGGAGAGACGAACGCAACGACGGCACGAGCCACUUUAGGUCAUCCUCGUGCAAAACUGAGACGAAAACACUUUUAAAGAAUGAAGAGGAAGAGCAACCAAGACAGAUCCAGAGACUAUUCUCUCCUAACUGUGAAACAAAACAGUCCGUCCGAUCUCAAAUGAAAACGUUUGUUGGUAUUCUUUAAUUCUUAGUAUUACUGAAAAACUUCGUCUUUUUACGUGAAGUUCUACUUUCCUUUUUUUAUCACAAUGUCGACUUUAGCUAUCUGAUUAAUUUCUAGAAACAGUUCCGUGUUAUCAUAUACGGGAUACGUACAACAAAGACAUAGAGUAUACUUAUUAAGUAUUCCAGUUUGUGUAAACAAGAACGACGAAGUGGUAGUUAACAUGCCACGUUGAGACUUAAAAAUUUAUAAGCUUCACCAUUGUGACACGGGCACACUGUAGAAGUCCUUUUUAACCAAGUAACUGUUCUAGUUUUCCCUUUCCUCCAUCAUGUAAGUCCGUGACUUUCGAAAUGCUUCGGUAAAAUACAGUAAGUAUAAAAAGACGCGUUACAUUGAACUUUAAAAUUAUCACUCCUUAUAACAGGCCAACUUCCACAAAGGUGUAUCAAAAAUCUAGUAACGUAUAUAAAAUUGAAAUCCACGUCGAUUUCGAAAAUCUAGUAAUGUAGAACGACGUCUCAUCCGUAUCACCUGUAACUACCGUUCGUGUACGUAGUAACCAUUGUUACUAAAGUGUUACAUUGAAUGUACCCGGAGUAAAUCACUGUAUCACGUGUAACUAAUUACUAAUCUCUAAAAAAAUAGUACGGUGUGAAAGUAGUCGGAUGUAUCAACACAAAUUAUUAGGUGGACUAUGAUUAAACGUAAGCGCACACACACAUGACCCGGUCACCGUAGAAUCUGUUCCUUUUUUCAGGUAGCUGCUCCUUACCGCUUUUAUAACCAGUAUACAUAACUCCAAAUCGAAGGUACCGACAGAUUAAAAAUAUGAAACAUCGAUAAAGAAGUAGAAUUACGAAGGUACUGAGCACACCCGAUCUUACAUGUCUUACCGGGCAGACACUAACGUACUAGAUCCAUAAGACCUGACUGAUGAGUGUUCCGAACUACUUUCUUAUAAAUUUUUACUUCAAUAACGACCUUGAUUAUUUCCAGUCACAUAAACAUAGGGAUCCUAACGGACUUACGUGGUUCAUGGUUUACCGCCAAAUGAGAAGCGGCAACGGUUAAAAGACAAACAAACACAAUACCCUACUGAUAGUUAUUCUCAGUUCUCGUUCGUGAAAGGUUUGACGCACAAAUAAAGUCUUGGCCCACAAAAGAGUACCCGUUAAUAUACAACUACAAAACGUUCAAAGUAGGGACUUUCCUGACCUUUAAGAUCGUCUUCUACUAGGCACCACAAGGUUGUUUAUGAUGAUGUUUAUAACAGACGUUUCUUUAGUAGGCACGAAAUGUUCGUUCACAAUAUUAAAGAAGAUAACCGUGUAUAAAAAAGGGACGGUGUAAAAAAAGAGACCAAGGACAUAACUUAAUGACUAUGUCACAGCAACACCUACAAACUGCUUCGUCGCGGUUGAUACUCUAUCAAUAAAACUACCAGUGUUCGCGAAGUCGUCUGGACAAGACUGAAAGACGAGAUGAACACAAACACUUUUAAGACUUGUAACACGGUACAGUCUGUCAA